UUGAUGUUCUGGUUGGGUUUGAAUGAUACAUUUAUCUGCUUUUAUUGUAAACAAAUUUAAAUAGGUUUGUUAUCAAUUAUGAAUCAUAAAUGACACACAUUUUAUUUUACAGUAUCCUGUAAAAAGGUACGAUGAAAGCUACAGAGAGUUGAAAUGAAGUCAACUGCAAAUGAGAAAUAGAGCCGGUCAUAGGGGAGAGCACCACCGAGGCCAUUGAAUGCACUACCUGACAGUUACAAUGGCAGGACCGUUCUGCACGCAUCACUGCAGUAACUACCAGAUCCUCCAACAGUUACACGCAUCGCUACAGUACUCCAGAGGCUGUCGUGAAAUCCCAUCGUUGUACUGCAGUAUAUGCUGCCUGGACGAGAACAGCAUCGGGAAGAGAGGGUGGAAGAGAAAGAAUGAGGACAAGGGGCAGGAUCUUUACCUCAAUUAUUGUUCAAUGAAUUGAUUCUUAUUUUAAAUCGUAUAUUGUUGUUUACAAUGUCAGUAUGAUAUAAAACAAAAAGCACAUUAAUCUUAACUAGUACAUUUUGAUAAUACAUUUGGCGGUGCGGGGGUGUUAUCCACAUUCUGUGAUAAUCCUUAUUGUUUGACUAUUUCAAGAAUGAUAAUAAACAUUUGAAAUAUCAAAUAGCUUCUCUUUCUUAUGUAGGCAUUUGAGAGUAUAUCAUAUGCCUGUAUUUUAAGGUUUUCUCUGCAUUAUUAUUUUUCUCUCCGAAGACCAAUCAGUGCAAAACCUUGUUUUUUAAUUAUCUUGUUCUGUUUUCAUUGAGCAUGACAACUCAGCUGUAUGAAAAAUAAGGACGGAAUCGGAUUUCGGCAGUAUGCUGGCUAUACGUCGGUUAUUUACCAAUAUGCCGAUAUCGGCCCGAUGUUAUGAUCCGUGUUGCACAUGCGAUAUCGGGCCGAUGAAAUGUUCCAUAUCGUUCCGACAUCGGGCCAACAUAAAA